rnacentral:rRNA from 1 species
AAAUACUCCUGACUGACCGAUAGUGAACCAGUACCGUGAGGGAAAGGCGAAAAGAACCCCGGCGAGGGGAGUGAAAAAGAACCUGAAACCGUGUACGUACAAGCAGUGGGAGCCUCUUUUAUGGGGUGACUGCGUACCUUUUGUAUAAUGGGUCAGCGACUUAUAUUCUGUAGCAAGGUUAACCGAAUAGGGGAGCCGAAGGGAAACCGAGUCUUAACUGGGCGUUAAGUUGCAGGGUAUAGACCCGAAACCCGGUGAUCUAGCCAUGGGCAGGUUGAAGGUUGGGUAACACUAACUGGAGGACCGAACCGACUAAUGUUGAAAAAUUAGCGGAUGACUUGUGGCUGGGGGUGAAAGGCCAAUCAAACCGGGAGAUAGCUGGUUCUCCCCGAAAGCUAUUUAGGUAGCGCCUCGUGAAUUCAUCUCCGGGGGUAGAGCACUGUUUCGGCAAGGGGGUCAUCCCGACUUACCAACCCGAUGCAAACUGCGAAUACCGGAGAAUGUUAUCACGGGAGACACACGGCGGGUGCUAACGUCCGUCGUGAAGAGGGAAACAACCCAGACCGCCAGCUAAGGUCCCAAAGUCAUGGUUAAGUGGGAAACGAUGUGGGAAGGCCCAGACAGCCAGGAUGUUGGCUUAGAAGCAGCCAUCAUUUAAAGAAAGCGUAAUAGCUCACUGGUCGAGUCGGCCUGCGCGGAAGAUGUAACGGGGCUAAA